rnacentral:rRNA from 1 species
GAUGAACGCUGGCGGCGUGCCUAAUACAUGCAAGUCGAGCGAACAGACGAUGAGCUUGCUCUCCUGCCGUUAGCGGCGGACGGGUGAGUAACACGUACAUAGCCUUCUUCUUUUACUGGGAUAACUUCGGGAAACCAGUUCCACUACCGGCUCAUACAUUCUACCGCUUGGAUCAAUAGUUAAUGACGCCUUUGCUGUUACAUUUAGACGGUUCCGCGUCGCAUUAGCUAGUUGGUAAGGUAACGGCUAACCAAGGCGACGAAGCGUAGCCGACCUGAGAGGGUGAUCGGCCACACUGGAACUGAGACACGGUCCAGACUCCUACGGGAGGCAGCAGUGGGGAAUAUUCGACAAUGGGCGAAAGCCUGACGGAGCAACACCGCGUGGGUGAAGAAGGCCUUCGGAUCGUAAAGCUCUGUUAUUGGGAAAGAAAAAAUGUAGAUGUAUCUAUGGACGUCUUGACGGUACCUAAUCAGAAAGCCACGGCUAACUACGUG